rnacentral:rRNA from 1 species
GGCUCCCGCUAUUGGAUGAGCCUAUGUCGGAUUAGCUAGUUGGUAAGGUAAUGGCUUACCAAGGCAACGAUCCGUAGCUGGUUUGAGAGGAUGAUCAGCCACAUCGGGACUGAGACACGGCCCGAACUCCUACGGGAGGCAGCAGUGGGGAAUAUUGGACAAUGGGGGCAACCCUGAUCCAGCCAUGCCGCGUGUGUGAAGAAGGCCCUCGGGUUGUAAAGCACUUUCAGCGAGGAAGAACGCUUAUCGGUUAAUACUCGGUAGGAAAGACAUCACUCGCAGAAGAAGCACCGGCUAACUCCGUGCCAGCAGCCGCGGUAAUACGGAGGGUGCAAGCGUUAAUCGGAAUUACUGGGCGUAAAGCGCGCGUAGGUGGCUUGAUAAGCCGGUUGUGAAAGCCCCGGGCUCAACCUGGGAACGGCAUCCGGAACUGUCAGGCUAGAGUGCAGGAGAGGAAGGUAGAAUUCCCGGUGUAGCGGUGAAAUGCGUAGAGAUCGGGAGGAAUACCAGUGGCGAAGGCGGCCUUCUGGACUGACACUGACACUGAGGUGCGAAAGCGUGGGUAGCAAACAGGAUUAGAUACCCUGGUAGUCCACGCCGUAAACGAUGUCGACCAGCCGUUGGGUGCCUAGAGCACUUUGUGGCGAAGUUAACGCGAUAAGUCGACCGCCUGGGGAGUACGGCCGCAAGGUUAAAACUCAAAUGAAUUGACGGGGGCCCGCACAAGCGGUGGAGCAUGUGGUUUAAUUCGAUGCAACGCGAAGAACCUUACCUACCCUUGACAUCUACAGAAGCCUGAAGAGAUUCUGGUGUGCCUUCGGGAACUGUAAGACAGGUGCUGCAUGGCUGUCGUCAGCUCGUGUUGUGAAAUGUUGGGUUAAGUCCCGUAACGAGCGCAACCCUUGUCCUUAUUUGCCAGCGAGUAAUGUCAGGAACUCUAAGGAGACUGCCGGUGACAAACCGGAGGAAGGUGGGGACGACGUCAAGUCAUCAUGGCCCUUACGGGUAGGGCUACACACGUGCUACAAUGGCCGGUACAAAGGGCUGCGAGCUCGCGAGAGUCAGCGAAUCCCUUAAAGCCGGUCUCAGUCCGGAUCGGAGUCUGCAACUCGACUCCGUGAAGUCGGAAUCGCUAGUAAUCGUGAAUCAGAAUGUCACGGUGAAUACGUUCCCGGGCCUUGUACACACCGCCCGUCACACCAUGGAAGUGGACUGCACCAGAUGUGGUUAGCCUAA